AUUGAACGCUGGCGGCAGGCUUAACACAUGCAAGUCGAACGAUGAUUAUCUAGCUUGCUAGAUAUGAUUAGUGGCGGACGGGUGAGUAACAUUUAGGAAUCUGCCUAGUAGUGGGGGAUAGCUCGGGGAAACUCGAAUUAAUACCGCAUACGACCUACGGGUGAAAGGGGGCGCAAGCUCUUGCUAUUAGAUGAGCCUAAAUCAGAUUAGCUAGUUGGUGGGGUAAAGGCCCACCAAGGCGACGAUCUGUAACUGGUCUGGGAGGAUGAUCAGUCACACCGGAACUGAGACACGGUCCGGACUCCUACGGGAGGCAGCAGUGGGGAAUAUUGGACAAUGGGGGCAACCCUGAUCCAGCCAUGCCGCGUGUGUGAAGAAGGCCUUUUGGUUGUAAAGCACUUUAAGCAGGGAGGAGAGGCUAAUGGUUAAUACCCAUUAGAUUAGACGUUACCUGCAGAAUAAGCACCGGCUAACUCUGUGCCAGCAGCCGCGGUAAUACAGAGGGUGCGAGCGUUAAUCGGAAUUACUGGGCGUAAAGCGAGUGUAGGUGGCUCAUUAAGUCACAUGUGAAAUCCCCGGGCUUAACCUGGGAACUGCAUGUGAUACUGGUGGUGCUAGAAUAUGUGAGAGGGAAGUAGAAUUCCAGGUGUAGCGGUGAAAUGCGUAGAGAUCUGGAGGAAUACCGAUGGCGAAGGCAGCUUCCUGGCAUAAUAUUGACACUGAGAUUCGAAAGCGUGGGUAGCAAACAGGAUUAGAUACCCUGGUAGUCCACGCCGUAAACGAUGUCUACUAGCCGUUGGGGUCCUUGAGACUUUAGUGGCGCAGUUAACGCGAUAAGUAGACCGCCUGGGGAGUACGGCCGCAAGGUUAAAACUCAAAUGAAUUGACGGGGGCCCGCACAAGCGGUGGAGCAUGUGGUUUAAUUCGAUGCAACGCGAAGAACCUUACCUGGUCUUGACAUAGUGAGAAUCUCUCAGAGAUGAGAGAGUGCCUUCGGGAACUCACAUACAGGUGCUGCAUGGCUGUCGUCAGCUCGUGUCGUGAGAUGUUGGGUUAAGUCCCGCAACGAGCGCAACCCUUUUCCUUAUUUGCCAGCGGGUUAAGCCGGGAACUUUAAGGAUACUGCCAGUGACAAACUGGAGGAAGGCGGGGACGACGUCAAGUCAUCAUGGCCCUUACGACCAGGGCUACACACGUGCUACAAUGGUAGGUACAGAGGGUUGCUACACAGCGAUGUGAUGCUAAUCUCAAAAAGCCUAUCGUAGUCCGGAUUGGAGUCUGCAACUCGACUCCGUGAAGUCGGAAUCGCUAGUAAUCGCGGAUCAGAAUGCCGCGGUGAAUACGUUCCCGGGCCU
rnacentral:rRNA from 1 species